rnacentral:rRNA from 1 species
AUGGCGAAUUUUGGGGGAGUGCGACACGCCGUCAACUACGUGUACGAUUUCAUAGCACUUUCCUCAGACGAAGAACUACUAGACACAGUCUCGAUUAGGAGCCCGCGCCCAUUCCCUAUCGAGAUUAGCCUACGGAUCAUCCGAGACACCAUCCUAGGAGAUGGACUUGUCCAUCCGUUAUGCUUCAAUCUAGCUGUGCGUAAGAUUACUACCGAUGCAGCAGAGAGGAGUGCAGGCACCAGCUCUGUUGGAAAGACACAUUUUCUCAAUUUGGGAUUCCAUGUGCAAGCACGGGCGCUAAGGCAGACUUGGUUAAGCCAAGAAGAGCGCACCAAUGCACUGAUUAACAAUGUUGUGCUUGAGCCUUUUCCAAGAUACGACGUGUUUCACACCCCUACAAUUGACCCCCAUGGCACUGAACUUCAGAGGGAAGCCCUUUUAGUGAAGCAAGAAUUCAGCUCUGUAUUACAACAGGAGGCCCCUGAUAGGAACAGCCAACUUGUAGAAUGGCCCGAACAAGAUAACAUUCAUGUUUCACCUCGGCGCAUGGACUCCGGAUUCAAAGUUCUACAGGAGAUGGCCCAUCUGUAUGAAACCAUCGGUAAUGACAUGGUUCAUAACAUGCCUAGGACUGACGAUCCACAAAGUCUCAGGAAGCGACUAAUGGUUCAGCUGUUGAUGGUUAGGGAUAAAGAAGCAAAGGAUAACAUUCCAAAGCAAGUUAGAGCAGCGUUGAGAUUUAUUGGUGGCUAA